rnacentral:rRNA from 1 species
GAAAAGAACUUUGAAGAGAGAGUUCAAGAGUACGUGAAACCGUUCAGGGGUAAACCUGAGAAACCCAAAAGAUCGAAUGGGGAGAUUCAUCGACGACGAAGCUGGCUCCCGUUGGCGUGCGAUUCCCCCGUUGGGACCUCGGUUCCAGAACGCGGGGUACACCCCUUCGGCGAACAACCGGCGACGUAGUCGUGCACUUCUCCCUUAGUAGAACGUCGCGACCCGUUGUGUGUCGGUCUACGGCCUGGGCUAUUUGCCUGUCGCGGUGGCAUUCGUUCGCUCGCGGCAGAGGCUCGGUCGCCCGGCCGGCUGCACGACGGUACUCCGACGGUAUCGGGCCGCAACCAAUCCAUUCUCGAAUGGUAUAUGCGUCCAGGCCCGUCGCAAGCUCGGACAGCACCCGGAGCGUGUGGACGCAGUGCCCUCCCCGGGUCUGGUGGCCAGCUGUUAGCAGACGGUGUCCUCGGACCGGCCAAGCUUCGAAUUACCGGUCAGCGACGCUAUUGCUUUGGGUACUCUCAGGACCCGUCUUGAAACACGGACCAAGGAGUCUAACAUGUGCGCGAGUCAUUGGGACAUUGAAACCUAAAGGCGAAAUGAAAGUGAAAGUCGUCGUAAGCGUCGACCAAGGGAGGAUGGGCCGCGUCACGUCGCGGCCUCGCACUCCCGGGGCGUCUCGUUCUCGUUGAGAAGAGGCGCACCCAGAGCG